AGUGAACGCUGGCGGUAGGCCUAACACAUGCAAGUCGAACGGCAGCACAGUAAGAGCUUGCUCUUACGGGUGGCGAGUGGCGGACGGGUGAGGAAUACAUCGGAAUCUACUUUUUCGUGGGGGAUAACGUAGGGAAACUUACGCUAAUACCGCAUACGACCUACGGGUGAAAGCAGGGGAUCUUCGGACCUUGCGCGAUUGAAUGAGCCGAUGUCGGAUUAGCUAGUUGGCGGGGUAAAGGCCCACCAAGGCGACGAUCCGUAGCUGGUCUGAGAGGAUGAUCAGCCACACUGGAACUGAGACACGGUCCAGACUCCUACGGGAGGCAGCAGUGGGGAAUAUUGGACAAUGGGCGCAAGCCUGAUCCAGCCAUACCGCGUGGGUGAAGAGGGCCUUCGGGUUGUAAAGCCCUUUUGUUGGGAAAGAAAAGCAGCGGGUUAAUACCCCGCUGUUCUGACGGUACCCAAAGAAUAAGCACCGGCUAACUUCGUG
rnacentral:rRNA from 1 species